rnacentral:lncRNA from 13 species
AUGAAUCCAGUCAGGAUUGUGCUCAACGAACACACACAGCCACACACACACAGCCACACACACACACACCCUCUUUUCCUCCUCUCCUCUCCUCUCCUCUCCUCUCCUCUCCUCUCCUCUCCUCUUCUCUUCUCUUCUCUUCUCUUCUCUUCUCUUCUCUUCUCUUCUCUUCUCUUCUCUUCUCUUCUCUUCUCUUCUCAUCUCAUCUCAUCUCAUCUCAUCUCAUCUCAUCUCAUCUUCUCUUCUCUUCUCUUCAUCCUCUCUUCUCAUCCUCUCCUCUUCUCUUCUCUUCUCUUCUCUUCUCUUCUCCUCAUCCUCUCAUCUCUUCUCCUCUCUUCUCUUCUCCUCAUCCUCUCAUCUCUUCUCCUCUCUUCUCUUCAUCCUCUCAUCUCUUCUCCUCUCUUCUCCUCAUCCUCUCAUCUCUUCUCCUCUCCUCUCUUUUCUUCUCUUCAUCCUCUCUUCUCCUCUCCUCAUCCUCUCCUCUCUUCUCCUCAUCCUCUCCUCUCCUCUCUCCCUAGUCUCCUGGAUGUGAUAGCAGGUCGUAAGAACCCAGCAGGGUUGAAGUUUGGUCAGGUUCUGAUCGAUGGGAAGAUGGUGGACUCUGACCUCCGACUCAUAUCUGCCUACGUGGUGCAGGUGAGGGAGGGUGUGUGUGUUGUCUACCUUUUCUAAAAACCUUCACUUUGGUGUUGACAGACUGGUUAAAAUGAUGAUCUGAUGAUGAGACAUGGUAUCACCAAUAACCAAUAUAAUAUCAGAUCAAUCAUUUGUAUAACCAAUAUAAUAUCAGAUCAAUCAUUUCUAUAACCAAUAUAAUAUCAGAUCAAUCAUUUGUAUAACCAAUAUAAUAUCAGAUCAAUCAUUUGUAUAACCAAUAUAAUAUCAGAUCAAUCAUUUCUAUAACCAAUAUAAUAUCAGAUCAAUCAUUUGAAUAUCCAACGUAACAAAAUGCUCUGUCUGUCUAUCUGUCUCUACCUCUCUCUCUACCUCUCUCUCUACCUCUCCCUCUCUCUCUACCUCUCUCUCUACCUCUCCCUCUCUCUACCUCUCUCUCUAUCUCUCUCCCUCUCUCUCUCUCUCUACCUCUCCCUCUCUCUCUCUCUCUCUACCUCUCUCUCUCUACCCCUCUCUCUCUAACUCUCUUCAACUCUCUCUACCUCUCUCUACCUCUCUCUCUACCUCUCCAUUUCUCNNNNNNNNNNCAAGAAUACAAAGUAGUAGUGUGAAAGAGUGAUUUGCUGUUGCUAUUGGAAAGGGGAGUGGUUCUAGUAGUAAAUCUAUGCCAGACAAUGAAAGGCCCACCACUCCACUCCAUCCAACAAUGACAAGUUGACCAAUCCCACAGACUGUUGUCACACUGGAUAUAGACAGAUGCAAUUAAGUUCCCAAUAAAUUCCUGAAUUUAAAAUACUUUGUACUGGACAUUGGAUAACUAAAGCUGAGAGGUUGACAAAGGUCAAGGGAAAUACUGGAAGCAAUUUUGGAAUCCAUAUCCUAUCAUAGCGGAGUCGAUAUUAAAACUGUAACAAUCUAACUUAGAUAGUAAAGGCGUGUUCACUACCAUUACUAAACAGAACUCAACCGUAAAGAUUCCAUCUGAUAAGUGAUAGUGUGCAUUGCAGUGUACUGAGGUGCUCUCUCCCAGCCUAGAGGUGCUUGGAAUAAAUGCUCUAUAAUGUAACUUACUUAGUAAAAUAAAGUGUUACGAUCAUACGGUAUAACCAACCAUUUCAACAAGCACUCUAUCUUUACAAGAAAAAUAAAACAAUGUUUUAAUUAAACAAUUUUAAAACAAAAAUAUAAAUGAAACAUGUAACAAUUUCAAGGAUUUUACUGAGUUACAGUUCAUAUAUGGAAAUCAGUCAAUUUAAAUAAAUAAAUUAGGCCCUAAUCUGAUGGAUUUGACAUUCCUGGGAAUACAGAUAUGCAUAUGCUGGUCACAGAUAACUUUAAAAAAGAAGUAGGGGUGUGGAUCAGAAAACCAGUCAGUAUCUGGUGUGACCACCAUUUGCCUCAUGCAGCGUAACACAUCUUCUUCACAUAGAGUUGAUCAGACUGUUGAUAUUGGCCUAUAUCCAAUGUGAAGAAGAAGAGUCUGUUCUUACAGCGGCUCCUCCGAUACACUGACCUGGGGUCAGCAGAUAGGACCCCUCCUUAAUGGCGACCUCAGCCUCCUAUGGAUCGUGCAGGAACCGGAACCUGGGUCGGUCACGAGAUUCUAGAGAAACGGGGACAUUCAUAGAGGAAGAAGCCAGUGAAAAUAGAUCUACUUUAACAAUUAUGGCAAAAUGGAUGACGGAGAAACAUUACUUUUUUUUUAAAUACCGUUGACUUUAAUUUGGUAGAAUAGUUUAGGCAUGAGAUGCAAUGGUAUCUAUACAAACCUGCUGCAAAAACAAUUGGCGCCACAAUGGAGCUCUCUGGUGGAUGAAUGCACAACUCAGUCCUUUUAAAAAGCAAUAAAGCUCUCAAGUCAACCUCAGCUCGGGGAGAAUUCUAUAGGCUUACCUGCACUGAUGUGGUAAAAGGAACUCCCCCAGCUCUCUCUCUCUGCAUGGGGGGUGAAGUGCACCUCCAGACUGGUCACAGGAGGCUCCCUGAUCCAGCUAGGAACUCGGGGAAAAAACGAGCUCCAAAUUGGAAUUCCAAGUUGGGAACUCUGGCCUCUUUCUAGUGCUCCGACAUGAAGAUCCCUGACGUCAUGAUUCAACCUUCCUCUUUCCAAGUUCCCAGUUAUCUUGAAAGCACCAUAAAUCCAGAGAAUGCCAGACUUUGGUGAAAGUUUCAUGACAAAUUCUUCCCACAAGAAGGACCCCAGUGCCACCUUCCUGUUCAAGUGAGCACAGCACAACGGUGAGCCCAAAAAUAUAUUGUAUACUGCUGCAUAAAUUAUGUAAUAUGCCAGGGAGAUAAGUAUACUCUAGCUAAGAAAGUAAUACUAAGUGUAUGUUGCGUAGUAAGCUGUUAGUAGCCCAUGUGCCUCACCCUAGUCAUUUGGUCCCUUUCCCCCUCAAAACAAUGCCUACUGUUCUGACUUGGUGGUGCACAUUUAGCAUAUACCCUGUUUUAGAAAAAUGUAAUAAUUGAAUAUUGUAAGGACAUUCAUUGUCUGCUUAUAUGCCCCCUUCUGACUUGGUGUACAGGGAAAAUACUAUAAGAACGGCCCAUGUUCUGAAUUCUGUUGCUGUACAUUUCAAAAGUGCUGAACAAAUAGAUUUUUGACAACGUCUGUUUUAGCUUGCUCAUUAAUGUCUUAAUCGAAAUUACAGAUUGCCUCUUAUCCGCUCAUUGUUCCCUUAUGCCACAGUUUGUACAUCUCAAUUGUCAGUAGAAACCACAUUUGUUCAGCAAGGCAGCCAUAUCAGCAGUUUUUUUUUAAAGCAGUAAAUGAGGCUGAAUGAACUGUUUCGAUACCAGACAAGGCUCCGUUGAUAGGCAGGUGUAGUAGCAGUGGUAAGGAUUAAUUCACUCCAUGGUGCUGAAAAGAAAGCUUUGCUGUUGGGACAGUUUGUGGGCACCGUUUGUCACCGUUAUAGUGGAGUUAAGUAUUGUUUAGUGUUGUGUUGUGUAGUGGCUUUGCUGGAAUGCAUCGACAAAAAGGUUGAGUUUGCCCCACCAAGAUUUACAUGCUAAAAUUAUUUGACAACUUGGAACAGUGCAUCAUGCCAUUUAGGCUGGCACAUUUUCAGUUUGCGUAAUCUCCAACAGCCUACUGUCACUCACAGAUUCAGACUUGAGGCAAAUAAGGCUAUUUUCUUGCCUGCUGAAAUCCCCCCGCCCCCCCNNNNNNNNNNCCUUAUGCCACAGUUUGUACAUCUCAAUUGUCAGUAGAAACCACAUUUGUUCAGCAAGGCAGCCAUAUCAGCAGUUUUUUUUUAAAGCAGUAAAUGAGGCUGAAUGAACUGUUUCGAUACCAGACAAGGCUCCGUUGAUAGGCAGGUGUAGUAGCAGUGGUAAGGAUUAAUUCACUCCAUGGUGCUGAAAAGAAAGCUUUGCUGUUGGGACAGUUUGUGGGCACCGUUUGUCACCGUUAUAGUGGAGUUAAGUAUUGUUUAGUGUUGUGUUGUGUAGUGGCUUUGCUGGAAUGCAUCGACAAAAAGGUUGAGUUUGCCCCACCAAGAUUUACAUGCUAAAAUUAUUUGACAACUUGGAACAGUGCAUCAUGCCAUUUAGGCUGGCACAUUUUCAGUUUGCGUAAUCUCCAACAGCCUACUGUCACUCACAGAUUCAGACUUGAGGCAAAUAAGGCUAUUUUCUUGCCUGCUGAAAUCCCCCCGCCCCCCCNNNNNNNNNNNNNNNNNNNNNNNNNNNNNNNNNNNNNNNNNNNNNNNNNNNNNNNACCUUCCUCUUUCCAAGUUCCCAGUUAUCUUGAAAGCACCAUAAAUCCAGAGAAUGCCAGACUUUGGUGAAAGUUUCAUGACAAAUUCUUCCCACAAGAAGGACCCCAGUGCCACCUUCCUGUUCAAGUGAGCACAGCACAACGGUGAGCCCAAAAAUAUAUUGUAUACUGCUGCAUAAAUUAUGUAAUAUGCCAGGGAGAUAAGUAUACUCUAGCUAAGAAAGUAAUACUAAGUGUAUGUUGCGUAGUAAGCUGUUAGUAGCCCAUGUGCCUCACCCUAGUCNNNNNNNNNNUUGUUGUUUGUGUCGCACUGCGUUGCUUUAUCUUGGCCAGGUCGCAGUUGUAAAUGAGAACUAGUUCUCGACUGGCUUACCUGGUUAAAUAAAGGUGAAAUAAAAAUAAAAUAAAAAAGUAACAUUUUGCGACUGCAAGGCCUGGCAUACUUCAGAAUCAUUUUGGUAGCUCAUGUGGACAAAUAGCCAAACCGAAAACUGCAGACAUUACUAGUGCCUCCCCCGCUAUCAAACCGGCAUAAAACAUUAAAUUAUUCAGAAAUCUCAACUAGCAAGCAAGUCGCAGCAAUGAAGAAUUGAGUGCGUGCGCGUUCAAGCAAGUCGCAGUAAUGAAGAAUUGAGUGCGUGCGCGUCCACGCGAAGAGGGGUGGAGAAUUCUGGCAAGGGGCACUUUUCGGCACAACACCGGAAUGUUUUUAUAGUUUCUUAUUUAAUACCCCGUCCAGCUGGUGGCGGUAAUGCACCGUUAACUUUGGAUGCCAACCGCGGUUAAACCUUAAAUCCCAUCGAAGAAGAAGUAGACCGCUCCAGCCCAAGUUACACCACCCCAUUCCCGAAAAUGGAUCGCUCCUACAGACAGUGAGUCACGUGGCCUGCUAUAUAAAGCAGGCAGACAGGCAGGCAAGCUAUA